rnacentral:rRNA from 1 species
AGCGAACGCUGGCGGCAGGCUUAACACAUGCAAGUCGAGCGGGCAUAGCAAUAUGUCAGCGGCAGACGGGUGAGUAACGCGUGGGAACGUACCUUUUGGUUCGGAACAACACAGGGAAACUUGUGCUAAUACCGGAUAAGCCCUUACGGGGAAAGAUUUAUCGCCGAAAGAUCGGCCCGCGUCUGAUUAGCUAGUUGGUGAGGUAAUGGCUCACCAAGGCGACGAUCAGUAGCUGGUCUGAGAGGAUGAUCAGCCACAUUGGGACUGAGACACGGCCCAAACCCCGACGGAGGGCAGCAGGGGGAAAUAUUGGACAGGGGGCGAAGGCCUGAACCAGCUAUGCCGGGGGAGUGAGGAGGCCCUAGGGGUUGAAAAGCUUUUUGGUGGGGGAAAAUAAGGACGGCACGGAAAGAAUAAGCCCCGGAUAACUGCGU